rnacentral:antisense_RNA from 1 species
AGAGGCCGGACCUGGGCAACCCCAGCCUGGAGGUGCCGGGGCCGGAGCUCCCAGAGGGCUGGGUGCGAGGCCUAGGCGGGGUCAGGUUCGGGUUCCUAGGCCAUAGCGGAGCUGCAGCCCAGGCGGCCGGAGCGGAACCCAGCCCCGCUCCGAGUGCCACGUCUCCAGGAACCCCCUCCUUACUCUUGGACAACACUCCGCCCCCGCCCGGGCCUCCGUCCCCCAAACCGCCCUCAUUUGUGCAGCGCCAGAUCCUUCGGACACAUCCCUAGGUGUCUCCAUCCUCAUCCGAUCCAUCCAACUCCCAGACACCACGUCUCCAACCGGCUGCACCCCACUCUCCAGCCUGCGCCCCAGAUGCAGCCUUCGCCCCUAGAUACACCCGCCUGGUGAUGAGGCGCUCUUCCCGUUCCUUCCGGCACGUGGCACACGUUCCACAAAUAUUUGUUGAAAGGGAGGGUAAAUGGCCUUGAGUUUCUGUGGCUACCAUUGGCUGAGGAUGGAGCUUUGGGCUGGACAAAGAAGAAUCUGGUUGACCACAUGAAGCAGGAA